AAUGGUAAACAGUUGUGACAUUUUAUGAAAUUAUCAGUCUCUAAUACUGGCGUGCUAAGGAAGAACAUUUGAGAGUUGCCAAAUUUCCCUCGAUAAAACAUGUAUUUUUGACAACAUUCAUAAAUAUUUUCCUUGAAAUUUUCAGAUAUUUUAGAUUUAAUUGCGUACAAAAUUGUCUGAAAAUUUUGGAAAGUAAUUUUCAGAAUUUUCCAGUAAAUUCGGUUUUUAGCGGAGGAAACUUGGCAACGUCUGAAGGCUUAUACGGCGCUCUUUCUUAGCAUGGCAGAAUACUAAAGAAUAUCUCUCACUAAUUCAGUCUAUGGUUUAACUUUGUAAGGGUGUACUUGUUUUGUUUUGUUUUUUUCUUUUCAAAAAAAUUCGGACUAAAUUUUGAAUCCUCAAAGCUCACGAGGAUACUCCUCGAAAGUAGCUCCAACGCUUUGCAUUAAGUUUGCAUUUCAAUGCUCUAAGAUGGAUGGUUAAAGUUUAUUUUUCCGAUAUUUUUCAGCGAAUAAAGCAAGCUUUGAAACCAACAGACGACUGGGGACCGUCGGAUUUAGAUCUCAAACAAGACUGGAUCGCUCAACACGAGAAGAACAAGGAAGCCCGACUCAAGAAGUCUACCAUUCAAAAUGGAGCUGCUUCCAAAGACCCCUCAAGCAAUAACGCACCAAGUGUAUAGUAAUUGUUAUGUUACAAUCAGAUUUAGAUCAGCAAGCUACUGUGAAGUGUACAGUUUUAUUCUUAGAUUCAUAGCAUAAAUGUCCAAGUCUAAGCACUGCAUUUCUCUAUCCGUGGCGAAGCGUGACUGAUCGAUUAUCGAUAUUUCCCCAUCUGAAACUGUGUAAAGAAUUGCCUGAUUAUUUAGGAGUUUGUUGCAAAUACUCUGCUUGUCGAUCCGUUUCCAUAUAGGUUUAAAUGGCAGAUUAAUCGAUAUAUCGCAAAACACGCCACGCCACUGUUUCACAUCCACUUCCUGUCUCAGUUUUGAAAGUGAAUAAUCAUCCUCGGUUACAAUGACGCUCAAAACUACUGUGAUAAAAACAUCUUUCGAAUUUUUAGUAAGUUAUGUUAAACAUUAAAGACACACCUAAUGAUUUAAAAUUUGCAUGCAAUGUAUAGCGUAUGAUACAAAUCGAGAGUGAAACUGCAGCAGAGGCGAUUCUUACAAGUUAGCAACACUGCUUUUUCUAUUUAAAUGCAUGUUAAACAAUCGAUUCUAGGUGAGGCAGGCUGCCUAACCUACAAUCGAUGUAUAAAAUGGGUUUCAAGGGAGUAUUGACAUGUUUGCGAUCUUACUGGAAUUGCCACUGACCUGCAGGAAUGCGUACAUCUCGUUAGCGGUGUUUAAAAAUUCCGCUCCUGUUGUAUUUCAUCAAAACGAUAAAACCCAACGCUAUCGCUUAAAACUGUCAGAAUAUUCUUCGCCCAGAGAAAAAAAAAUCAGGGAGUUUUCGAGGAAUGAAAUCAAAGAUGUUAUCCUUUAAAAAGACAGGAAUUCAGCAACGUCUCAAAACGAGGUACUUGUUCUUGCAGUUUGACCUCCGAAAAUGCGUCCGUUGCCCGUAAGGAAUAAAACCAGAUGAGUAAACUUUCUAAAAAUAAAAUUGUCUAAAAUCAUAACGUAAUGUAUACAUUUACGUGAUUCGUUUAACGCAUUUUCAAAUUUACUACAGCCCUGGGCAAUUUAUUUUCCUACGCCGAGAGAGAGAAAAGAAAGAAGAAAGUGAACCGCUGUAAGAAAUGUUAACCUAAAUAAACGAACCAUGGUUCGUGUUGUUGCUCAAGAGUAUUUUCAAUAAUUUUUCUGCGAGUUUUUUUUCUCAAUUUUUUGGGUUGCUAAUAAAAACUCUUUAAAAAUCGAGAUCGUACUUGAGAAAAUUUAUUGAGGAAAAUAAAAUUGUAAGAAAUGAAUGCUAGGCGAUCAGAGCGAGGUAGUGUUUUGCCAUACUAUAACACGACAUAUUUAAUUGCCAACUCUUUCAUAAAAACUAAUUAUCAAAAACAGGUGUAUCAACAUGCUUUUCAUCUGAAUGCAUCAAGUUUCUCUCUAUCUCUCGCAAGUUUUUCACAAGUAGUUUUAAGAGUCACUGUUAUCAAAAGGGGUCUUAAAUAAUUUUUGUCCAGAGCGCAAUUCAGCGGACUGGCAGCACUUUUUGGACUAUCAAAUUUGUUGGAUGACACUUUUUUUCCCCAGGCAAGUACAGAGGCAGGUAAUUUUAAUUUUAAUUCUCACAUUAAACCUGAAUGGGAUAAUGUUUCAUACAUACAAAUGCGCAAAUUUCUCUUGAUACGUGUCCUACCUCUGAUAUGCCUGGAAAAUAGGAAAUGAUGAGAUAAAGCGUAAGCUCACUAUUGCAUUGUUUAUAUUUAUUUCCAUUACUUUUGUUCAUUUAUUACUUUUAUCUAUUUUUUAUUGUUGAUGCCAAGAUAUUACGUUAAAUUUGUAAUACAACGUAAGUCAAUGAAGAGCGCUGCCAUUCUAAAAUGGACUCAUUUUAUCUUUCCAUAAUACCUCAAAAUUGUGAAUAUUAUAGUACUUUGUUAUAUGUAUAUUAUACAUUUUUAUAGUCCCCAAUUACUUAAAUGAUAUUGUUGAAUUUAAAUAAAAGUUGACGCUUGUAAUGGGACAUUUGAAUCCUACACCUAAGAACAGUUUGAAAGCUAUACAAAAUUAAACUGCGUAUGAGACUUACCUCUGUAUUUUAGAGGUUUAGCAGGAACACGGAUGAUGAGUUAAAGGGAUGUAAUAAAAAUGAACUAAAACCGUCAAAUGAGAAAAUUGAUUUAUUCAUAAUUGCAAACUACCUGGAGGCAAAAAUUCGUCAAGAUGGAAAAAGAAGAGUAAAGAUUAUAAAUAUAUACCAUCAAUUUUCACCUGAAGUUGAAUUCUGUCAAUUUUUUCAAGUGUCAGUGCUUGAACUUCCGAUUUUUAGAUUUUGUAAGACUAUAUACAAAUUAUAUCGAUAUCGAUGUAAGAUCUUUAAAGAUACUGAUUGUAGGAUAUUUUGGUUUUCCCCUUAUGUACAUAAAUAAUUUUGGCUUCCUGUGAAUACGAAUCUGUUUAUGUAAAAAAACAGCCGAAUUAUUUGCAGUUUCUUAGAAAAGUCAUUGUUACAUUAUGGAUUAUUUUUAUACAUGUUUAUUAAUUGUUUACAUAGGUUUUUGUAAAGACCUGCGAGAGGGUAAUCUCUUUUGUUUCUUCCAACUUGGAAUAUUAGCUCUUUAAGUUAAGAACUUAGUUAUUUUUUCCACGUGGAAAAAAUAAGAUUGAGAUUCCAACCCAUCUUUUAGUGGGAAUCUCAAGUGAAUUAUAUGUACUUUGUUCGACUCUGCGACUACGUCAGACAUUAUGUUUAUGGUGUGUCUUUAAGACUUCGUGCUCAAUCUUUGGUGUGAUGCCAGACAUUCUGGUUGCGGAUACUAAAUUAUUAUUUGGACCUAUUUCCGCCAAACGGAACAAUGUGCACUAAGUCAUGAGCCUUGAGACUCAUAAGAAUAUAUGUAUAACAGGGCUCACGUCAUAAUGCACCUAGUUCUAUUUGGCAGAAAUACGUCCAUUUCAUCAUCAGCAUAUUCGAUUCACUCAAUACGAGUCAAGAGCCAGUUCGCUGUUAAUUUGAAAAAUCAAUUGUAAGAACGACACACUCACAAUCAACCAUCAAAUUUCUGUAACUUAAUGAAAUCCUUUUUAAAAAUGGAAAACUGUCCCUCUUUAGAAUACCUUGUCCGGGUUUUUCCUGACGCUAAGCAAUAUAACAAAAAUUCCGCUUUCACACCGUUCCGCGUGCUCCUGAUCGACACUCCAUGUGAUCUUGCCAGAGUAAGAUAACUAAGACAUUAAUAUUUAACUAAUUUUACAAGAUUACGAAAGUACGUUUGGACUGUGUUCAUAAUAACUCCUCAAUCCCUCCUUAAUUUGUCCAUUUAGUCUACAAUUAUAGAUUAUAGCGUUAAGUAAAUAUUUAACACGGCCGAAAUGUUAAAAACUUAACCUGAUGAAAAGAUUAAUGUGCAGGCUUGCAACGAUACGUACGUUUCAGAAAAAUUACAAAUUACUGAAGAAC
rnacentral:lncRNA from 1 species